GGGUUGUGAGGUUAAGCGACUAAGCGUACACGGUGGAUGCCCUGGCAGUCAGAGGCGAUGAAGGACGUGCUAAUCUGCGAUAAGCGUCGGUAAGGUGAUAUGAACCGUUAUAACCGGCGAUUUCCGAAUGGGGAAACCCAGUGUGAUUCGUCACACUAUCAUUAACUGAAUCCAUAGGUUAAUGAGGCGAACCGGGGGAACUGAAACAUCUAAGUACCCCGAGGAAAAGAAAUCAACCGAGAUUCCCCCAGUAGCGGCGAGCGAACGGGGAGGAGCCCAGAGCCUGAAUCAGUGUGUGUGUUAGUGGAAGCGUCUGGAAAGGCGCGCGAUACAGGGUGACAGCCCCGUACACAAAAAUGCACAUGCUGUGAGCUCGAUGAGUAGGGCGGGACACGUGGUAUCCUGUCUGAAUAUGGGGGGACCAUCCUCCAAGGCUAAAUACUCCUGACUGACCGAUAGUGAACCAGUACCGUGAGGGAAAGGCGAAAAGAACCCCGGCGAGGGGAGUGAAAAAGAACCUGAAACCGUGUACGUACAAGCAGUGGGAGCCUCUUUAUGGGGUGACUGCGUACCUUUUGUAUAAUGGGUCAGCGACUUAUAUUCUGUAGCAAGGUUAACCGAAUAGGGGAGCCGAAGGGAAACCGAGUCUUAACUGGGCGUUAAGUUGCAGGGUAUAGACCCGAAACCCGGUGAUCUAGCCAUGGGCAGGUUGAAGGUUGGGUAACACUAACUGGAGGACCGAACCGACUAAUGUUGAAAAAUUAGCGGAUGACUUGUGGCUGGGGGUGAAAGGCCAAUCAAACCGGGAGAUAGCUGGUUCUCCCCGAAAGCUAUUUAGGUAGCGCCUCGUGAAUUCAUCUCCGGGGGUAGAGCACUGUUUCGGCAAGGGGGUCAUCCCGACUUACCAACCCGAUGCAAACUGCGAAUACCGGAGAAUGUUAUCACGGGAGACACACGGCGGGUGCUAACGUCCGUCGUGAAGAGGGAAACAACCCAGACCGCCAGCUAAGGUCCCAAAGUCAUGGUUAAGUGGGAAACGAUGUGGGAAGGCCCAGACAGCCAGGAUGUUGGCUUAGAAGCAGCCAUCAUUUAAAGAAAGCGUAAUAGCUCACUGGUCGAGUCGGCCUGCGCGGAAGAUGUAACGGGGCUAAACCAUGCACCGAAGCUGCGGCAGCGACGCUUAUGCGUUGUUGGGUAGGGGAGCGUUCUGUAAGCCUGCGAAGGUGUACUGUGAGGUAUGCUGGAGGUAUCAGAAGUGCGAAUGCUGACAUAAGUAACGAUAAAGCG
rnacentral:rRNA from 1 species